rnacentral:rRNA from 1 species
GAUGAACGCUGGCGGCGUGCCUAAUACAUGCAAGUCGAGCGAACGGACGAGAAGCUUGCUUCUCUGAUGUUAGCGGCGCACGGGUGAGUAACACGUGUAUAACCUACCUAUAAGACUGGGAUAACUUCGGGAAACCGUAGCUAAUACCGGAUAAUAUUUUGAACCGCAUGGUUCAAAAGUGAAAGACGGUCUUGCUGGCACUUAUAGAUGGAUCCGCGCUGCAUUAGCUAGUUGGGAAGGUAACGGCUUACCAAGGCAACGAUGCAUAGCCGACCUGAGAGGGGGAUCGGCCACACUGGAACUGAGCCACGGUCCAGGGUCCUACGGGAGGCCGCAGUAGGGAAUCGUCCGCAGUGGGCGAGAGCCUGACGGAGCAACGCCGCGUGAGUGAUGAAGGUCUUCGGAUCGUAAAACUCUGUUAUUAGGGAAGAACAUAUGUGUAAGUAACUGUGCACAUCUUGACGGUACCUAAUCAGAAAGCCACGGCUAACUACGUG